AGUGAACGCUGGCGGUAGGCCUAACACAUGCAAGUCGAACGGCAGCACAGUAAGAGCUUGCUCUUACGGGUGGCGAGUGGCGGACGGGUGAGGAAUACAUCGGAAUCUACUUUUUCGUGGGGGAUAACGUAGGGAAACUUACGCUAAUACCGCAUACGACCUACGGGUGAAAGCAGGGGAUCUUCGGACCUUGCGCGAUUGAAUGAGCCGAUGUGGGAUUAGCUAGUUGGCGGGGUAAAGGCCCACCAAGGCGACGAUCCGUAGCUGGUCUGAGAGGAUGAUCAGCCACACUAGAACUGAGACACGGUCCAGACUCCUACGGGAGGCAGCAGUGGGGAAUAUUGGACAAAGGGCGCAAGCCUGAUCCAGCCAUACCGCGUGGGUGAAGAAGGCCUUCGGGUUGUAAAGCCCUUUUGUUGGGAAAGAAAAGCAGCAGGUUAAUACCCCGCUGUUCUGACGGUACCCAAAGAAUAAGCACCGGCUAACUUCGUG
rnacentral:rRNA from 1 species